UUUAUUCAAAUGGAGCAGGACAACAACCUAGUCUCUUUUCUUGUUUAUGCGACUACGAAUCCUACUCCUCUUAACCUACCCCAGUCUUGGCUGGAGGUUGCAUUGAUGGGGAAAACACUAAUAUUUACUAUGCAAGUGAAUAGACGAGACUACCUAGUUAUGAUACAAAAUUCUCGGGACCUAGCCCAUAUCAUCACAGAGGGGAUGACACUUGGAAUGGAAGUGUUUAAC
rnacentral:lncRNA from 1 species